UACCAGCACCCCGAGUGGUCGGGACGAUUAUUGGGCCUAAAGCAUCCGUAGCCGGUUUUACAAGUCCCCCGUUAAAUCCAACUGCUUAACAGAUGGGCUGCGGAGGAUACUACAAGGCUAGGAGGCGGAAGAGGCAAGCGGUACUCAGUGGGUAGGGGUAAAAUCCUCUGAUCCAUUGAAGACCACCAGUGGCGAAGGCGGCUUGCCAAUACGCGCUCGACGGUGAGGGAUGAAAGCUGGGGGAGCAAACCGG
rnacentral:rRNA from 1 species